rnacentral:rRNA from 1 species
AUUGAACGCUGGCGGCAGGCCUAACACAUGCAAGUCGAGCGGUAGAGAGAAGCUUGCUUCUCUUGAGAGCGGCGGACGGGUGAGUAAUGCCUAGGAAUCUGCCUGGUUGUGGGGGAUAACGUUCGGAAACGGACGCUAAUACCGCAUACGUCCUACGGGAGAAAGCAGGGGACCUUCGGGCCUUGCGCUAUCAGAUGAGCCUAGGUCGGAUUAGCUAGUUGGUGGGGUAAUGGCUCACCAAGGCGACGAUCCGUAACUGGUCUGAGAGGAUGAUCAGUCACACUGGAACUGAGACACGGUCCAGACUCCUACGGGAGGCAGCAGUGGGGAAUAUUGGACAAUGGGCGAAAGCCUGAUCCAGCCAUGCCGCGUGUGUGAAGAAGGUCUUCGGAUUGUAAAGCACUUUAAGUUGGGAGGAAGGGUUGUAGAUUAAUACUCUGCAAUUUUGACGUUACCGACAGAAUAAGCACCGGCUAACUCUGUG